rnacentral:lncRNA from 1 species
AAUUGAUAAGCUCUUUCCAACUUGUCAGAAGCAACUUAGCCGUCUCGCCUUGCGGCCUGGAACCCCUGGCAAUUUCCGGAGCACCGGCAAGAGACUUUUGCACAGUUUCUGCUUGGAGUCUACCGACUGUCUGUCUCAGAGGUCUGGACAGCUGCUUGUUACAUUUGGCUCACGCUAGCUUAAAAAAGGAAUUUAUGGACCUUACUGCAGAACGUCCCAAUUCUUCAGGCCAAGGUGCCUGUGUUCCUGCUCGGUUUCUGGAUUGCUUGGUACUUAAAUGAAACAUCUUAUUAAUCAUUUCCCGGGAAUGCUGUGCAGGCAAAAGGAAAACAAAGGCAUUCAGGAGCCACAGAAAAGUGUACUGGCUCCUGUCCUGGAUCAACUCAGAAAAUGAAACACAUCGGAUUCUGUCCAGGCCGGGCACAGCAACCUGGCCCAUCCAUGUGGAGCCUGCAGUGACCACUUCCGCUGUCUGCACAAAACUGGAGGGAGGCUGGGGGUGCUCCAAGUAUAAGUUUCCUCAUCAGCAAACCGGAAAGAGAAAGACCGACCUGGAGGCUGGUUAUGGGGAUAAAAUAAAUAUGUCCUUAUAUAUGUGUA